ensembl:antisense C330018A13Rik RIKEN cDNA C330018A13 gene
GUCCUAGACAGACCUCAUUCUAGACUCUGCUCUGCCACAGAUCGUCGGUGUCUUUGUAUGCUUAAUUAAAAAAAAAUGGGGAUUAUAAAUAAAGUAAUGCUCCAUUUUCCCUCAGAGAGAUGCGGUGAACAUCAGGGAGACCAGACUUCAAGCGCCAACCACAGUUGGGCAAGGUGGACCAAAGGGCUCUGUUCUGAUCCAAAGCUGGAUGAAGACCAGUGUUUCUAAAGUUAAAUGAAGUGGGCUGAGUUUGGAGCUGUGGAAUCUGGGGCUAUGAACUUUGGAGCUAUGGAGCGUGGGGCUGUGGAGGCGUGGACUGUGUUCGUCCAGCGUAUUCCUCUGACCUUCUUCCGGCUUAUGUCUGCUUCUUCCAUCACCUGAACCACUCUUUGGCUGGGGAACACUUCUGUAACCGGCUUUGUGAAGAUGACAUUUUCCAAGAAUUCAUUGGAUAUGAAGGCACAAGUUUUUACAUUAUUGGAAAACCAAACAUGUCUCACUGGGGGAAAAAAAUGUGUUGAUCAGAAUGGUUUCUGUUGUGGCUCAAAGGCAUGUGUCUGAGCCUCGUUGGAGUGAUGCAGAACUCGCCAUCUAAAACCUCAGUUAUUCCGCACCGACCUGAACCUCAGGCCAGACUGGUUGUUUGGGGGUAAAGGGCCCCACUCCAGUUUCUGGCUUCGAUCUUAAGCUGAUUUUAAGCUCAUCUUGUUGCCAUUCACCCAGGAAAAUUUGAGGAGAGCAAGAAAACCCAGCUAGAUACAUUUUUUUCUCAUUUGCUUCUUAAUCUCUUAACAUUCCAUCAGUGUAUAUUCAUUAUAUAUAUAAAGAGAUGGGUUUAUAAUGGCUCAAGAGGAGAAUGCUCACUGACCAUGCCUCUCGCCAAUUACCCCUCCUGUCCCCACCCCAAUUAGUCCCCUAAAAUUUUCAUGUCAUGUGUGUGUGUGUUUGUGUACAGUCUAGGUUCUACAUAGAAAAAUUCUAGUAGUCUGGCCUUCAAAGCUUACUGUAACCUGCUGAGUGACGUCCACAUCUCUGUAAAUGGCAUGAGUAGCUUUUCUAAAGCCAUUUGUCCUUAAAGUCUUCGUUCUGGCUCAGCAGCUCUUUUAAGACUUAUUUAUUUUUAUCUUGUGCGGGUGAGCAGAUCUGACUUUGCCUCCCAGGAGAAGGCUUACGACACACAGGCCCAGCGCUUUGCCUGGGCCCUUGCUGUUCGGUGGUCUGUGAUGCUCUCUCCUCGGCAGGAGCAUGCUAAGUGUCAGUCCACGUCCUGGGAGGAGCUUUCCCCUCUGUACGACUUGGAGACAAACACCUCUUCUGUGUACCUCAAUUACUGAAUCCACUGCCCUCAAAUUAAUUCUGUUUAGUCUGUCAGAGGUGUCCCUGAGGCUGUAUUAGUGAAUUGAGUAGAGUCCGGACAUCUGAACUGGCCCACGGGGCCUCCUCCUCCACCCCUCUUGACCUUACCCUGUGCACAGCCCCCCUACCCUGGUCAUCCUGUAAAAGGCCAAUCCAUACUUAAGCCUGUCUACUCUUAGAGACUUACGUGUGAUUUGCUUCUUUUUUGGGAGGUACCAAAGCCUCUAUUAAAAUGCACCUAUU